ensembl:lncRNA
CCCAUGGAUGUGGGACAGACCCAUAGGGACACGUUGGGACCCAUAAAUGUGGGGCAGACCCAUAGAUGUGGGGUGGGACCCCCCCAGUGCCCCCCAAGUGCUCACAGCCACCACUGCUCACUACCAACACUACUUUAUUGUACGGCAGCGCCAUGGGGUGGGACCCAUAGAUGUGGGGCAGACCCAUAGAUGUGGGGCAGACCCAUAGAUGUGGGCUGGGACCCAUAGAUGUGGGGUGGGACCCAUAGAUGAGGAACAGACCCAUAGAUGUGGGGCAGACCCACAGAUGUGGGGUGGGACCCAUAGAUGAGGGGCAGACCCAUAGAUGAGGAACAGACCCAUAGAUGUGGGGUGGGACCCAUAGAUGAGGGGCAGACCCAUAGAUGUGGGGCGGGACCCAUAGAUGUGGAGCAGACCCACAGAUGUGGGGUGGGACCCAUAGAUGUGGGGCAGAGUCACCACUGUGGGGCAGAGCCAUGGGGUAGAGGCCUCAUCUAUGGGGCACAGGCAUCAUCAAUGGGGCAGAGGCCCCAUCCAUGGGGCAGAGGCAUCAUCUAUAGGGCACAGGCCUCAUCUAUGGGGCGGAGGCCUCAUCUAUGGGGCACAGGCCUCAUCAAUGGGGCAGAAGCAUCAUCUAUGGGGCAGAGCCAUGGGGCAGAAGCCUCAUCUAUGGGGCAGAGCCAUGGGGCAGAGGCCUCAUCAAUGGGGCAGAGCCGCCAUCUAUGGGGCAGAGGCCUCAUCUAUGGGGCAGAGCCAUGGGGCAGAAGCCUCAUCUAUGGGACAGAGGCCUCAUCUAUGGGGUACAGGCCUCAUCUAUGGGGCAGAGGCCUCAUCUAUGGGGCAGAGGCCCCAUCUGUGGGGCGGAGGCGCGAUGUGUGGGGCAGAGCCAUGGGACAGAGGCCUCAUCUAUGGGGCAGAAGCAUCAUCUAUGGGGCAGAGGCCUCAUCUAUGGGGCAGAAGCCUCAUCUAUGGGGCAGAGGCCCCAUCCGUGGGGCAGAGGCGCGAUGUGUGGGGCUCAGUAGUUGGAGGAGCGCUCCUGCUGUCUGUAGGCCCCACGGCGAAGGUAACCGCCGUCCCCCUUCCGGUAGCCGUCCUUCUGAUCUGUGGGGCACAGGAACACUUAUGGGGCACAGCAGCACUUAUGGGGCAGAGAGGCACUUAUGGGGCACAGAAACACGGGGCAGAGGAGUACUUAUGGGGCACAGGAACAUUUAAGGGACAGAGGAGCACUUAUGGGGCAGAGGAACACUUAUGGGGCAGAGAGGUACUUAUGGGGCAGAGAGAUACUUAUGGGGCACAGAAACACGGGGCACAGGAGUACUUAUGGGGCACAGGAACACUUAUGGGGCACAGGAACGCUUAUGGGGCACAG